rnacentral:rRNA from 1 species
UGAGUACAAGAUGCUACGGCAUUGAAGCAGUCUAUGUCAUACUUCCAAGAAAAGCUUGCAAUGUCAUAAACAAAUAAUGCCUGUACCAUAACCGACACAGGUGGGUAGGUAGAGUAUACUAAGGGGCGCGAGAUAACUCUCUCUAAGGAACUCGGCAAAAUGACUCCGUAACUUCGGGAGAAGGAGUACCUUAUUUUAUAAGGUUGCAAUAACAAGGUCCAAGCAACUGUUUACCAAAAACACAGGUCUCCGCUAAGUCGUAAGACGAUGUAUGGGGGCUGACGCCUGCCCAGUGCCAGAAGGUUAAAGAAGUUGGUUAGCAUUAGCGAAGCUGAUAACUGAAGCCCUGGUGAACGGCGGCCGUAACUAUAACGGUCCUAAGGUAGCGAAAUUCCUUGUCGGGUAAGUUCCGACCCGCACGAAAGGCGUAAUGAUUUGGAUACUGUCUCGGAGAGGGGCUCGGUGAAAUAGACUUGUCUGUGAAGAUGCGGACUACCUGCACCUGGACAGAAAGACCCUAUGAAGCUUUACUGUAACUUGAGAUUGAAAUUGGACUUUAUUUGCGCAGUAUAGGUGGGAGACCUCGAAAGUAUUCUUGCGGGAAUAUUGGAGUCAUCAGUGAGAUACCACUCUUAUAAUGUUAGAUUUCUAACUUUGUAUCAUUAUCUGGUCAAAGAACAGUUUCAGGCGGGCAGUUUGACUGGGGCGGUUGCCUCCCAAAUGGUAACGGAGGCGCACAAAGGUUUCCUCUGAACGUGUAGAAAUCGUAUCUAGAGUGUAAAGGCAUAAGGAAGCUUGACUGUGAGACCUACAAGUCGAGCAGGGACGAAAGUCGGUCUUAGUGAUCUGACGGUGCUGAGUGGAAAGGCCGUCACUCAACGGAUAAAAGUUACUCUAAGGAUAACAUGCUGAUCUCCCCCAAGAGUUCACAUCGACGGGGAGGUUUGGCACCUCGAUGUCGGCUCAUCGCAUCCUGGGGCGGUAGUACGUCCCAAGGGUUGGGCUGUUCGCCCAUGAAAGCGGUACGCGAGCUGGGUUCAGAACGUCGUGAGACAGUUCGGUCCAUAUCCGGUGUAGGCGUUAGAAUAUUGAGAGGAGCCUUCUUUAGUACGAGAGGACCGAGAAGGACAUACCUCUGGUGUACCAGUUAUCGUGCCAACGGUAAACGCUGGGUAGCUAUGUAUGGAGAGGAUAACCGCUGAAAGCAUCUAAGUGGGAAGCCCACCUCAAGAUAAGUAUUC